AUAACGAUCUUUUAAUGUUCAAUAUUUUUAUUACACAUGAGGGUAUGAACUGUUACACUUCACACGCGUGUAUACUUCCUGUAACUCGUGACCCUCAUUUCUGAUACCGGGAGUUUGACGAAAUAAGAGUCACUACGUAAGCUAAUCAGUGAAGGUUUGACGUCUCCGGGAUCAAGAACAGAGACCGGGACCUAAGAGUUAUGUCUUUACCAUGUGACUACAGUGAGCGGUCCAUUCGACAUUAUCCUAAGGACCAAUGCAGGUUGAAAUGGGCUUCGAGCCAAUAAGUUCAACAGCAAUUUGCCUUGGAAAUUGUCAAGAAAGUGAUGACGUCAUAUCUCCUGGACCCUACAACUUCUUAGCUUACCAAGAAAAUUCAAGAAUUUCUGCAAAAUGUGGGACUUGGAAAGAAUCAUUAAAGUAUAUGUGAUCAAUGAAUAUUGUGUAACAUACAAAAGUAUGAAUUUAAUGAAAAACAAAUAAAUAUACUCGUGUAUCACGUGCCGUUUUAAAGUUAAGUAUCCUGCCUAAAUAUAGAGGACAUGUCAUUGUUGAUUAUUCUGAUUCUUCGAUAAAUCAAAAUCAGUAAAUAUUUCAAAAUGAAAAUGCCUAUCUUAUAACUUUAAUCAAUGUGUGAAUUUCUCUUGCAAAUUAAAGUUUAAUUGAACAUAUUACAUCAUGGAUGACUAUGAACUUUACAUUUUAUUAUUAAUAAAUGUUUCCAUAGAUACUAACUUUUACAUCAAUCAAUCAAUGCUUUAUUCACAUAAAUGUACAGUCAUACAAUACAGAAAGAAAAAAAUGUCUUCAUGGGACUAGUUAAACCCCCGACACAAACACACGCAUACACAUACGCAAUAUACAUGCAUUCUGAGUUAUCCACUAGCGAGUUAUUGGUUCAAUGUGAGACGACAAGUAGGACUAUUAAACUUAUGAAAGACAUAUAUAUCUGCGAGAGCAAGAUAGCUCAGAUGAGCGUUGAGAUCCAUGCGUCGCUUGAGUUGAAGUCUUUCGAACCAUCUGGUUUGGUUUGGUUUGAUACAGUUUAACAUCCCUCUUGAGAAUUUUCACUCAUAUUGAGACG